rnacentral:misc_RNA from 1 species
AAACUGCGAAAAGUAAUGUGAACUGCAUACUUUGUGAAUCAUCGAAUCUUUGAAUGCACAUUGCACCUUUUGGUUCGCCACUAGGUAUACUUGUUUGAGUAUCAAGCAAAACACUGCCUCUCCCAUUUCGAUGGGCAGCAGCAGAAGGUGAGGAUCAACACAAAUCAAAGGUUGUUCCUUUAAAGACAUGCACGGGGAGUGACGUUUAGCGCAAGCGACGACAGUACCGAGAGUCUCGUACUACCACUAUUGGGAUAGGGAUUUCAAUAUGUUUGCGAGGCAUGUAGGGAGCCGUGCAGAAGGUCGUGCUUGUGGGCUGGGGAGGGAGCCACAAAAAGGACAACAACGGGCAUUAAAGCAAUGCAAUGCCACGUGCGCAGAUCUCAAAUCAAGCAAGACU